GACGAACGCUGGCGGCGUGCUUAACACAUGCAAGUCGAACGGAAAGGCCCUGCUUUUGUGGGGUGCUCGAGUGGCGAACGGGUGAGUAACACGUGAGUAACCUGCCCUUGACUUUGGGAUAACUUCAGGAAACUGGGGCUAAUACCGGAUAGGAGCUCCUGCUGCAUGGUGGGGGUUGGAAAGUUUCGGCGGUUGGGGUGGGACUCGCGGCUUAUCAGCUUGUUGGUGGGGUAGUGGCUUACCAAGGCUUUGACGGGUAGCCGGCCUGAGAGGGUGACCGGCCACAUUGGGACUGAGAUACGGCCCAGACUCCUACGGGAGGCAGCAGUGGGGAAUAUUGCACAAUGGGCGGAAGCCUGAUGCAGCAACGCCGCGUGCGGGAUGACGGCCUUCGGGUUGUAAACCGCUUUCGCCUGUGACGAAGCGUGAGUGACGGUAAUGGGUAAAGAAGCACCGGCUAACUACGUG
rnacentral:rRNA from 1 species